ACUUGAGAGAGACUUAGAGAGCUCAUCAACCAAUCAAUGAGCUCCCUCCUUCCUCGCUCUUCUUUCUGAUUGGCUGCUGCCCCUGUAGCCAGUCCCCUCCCCCUCUGUGUUACUGCAGCUCAGUCUAUUCUAUCUCUCUCUCUUUUUCUCUCUCUCUCUUUCUCUCUCUCUCUCUGUCUGUUGCCGUAGCGAUCUCCUCUCUCCUUUUCUCUCUCUCUCUAUCUCUCUCUCUCUGUCAUUGCCGUAGCGAUCUCCUCUCUCUCCCCCGGACCCCGCAGCAUAACCCCCUGCACGGAUAGACCUGGCCUUUAUCGUUAUGAAGAUGAAUCCGCCGUGGAAUAUCCAGAGAUGCUAUUAUCCCCACCACGACCCGGCAACACAGACAAUGAGUUCCCAGUCCUGAGGUGAACCCGUCCUCUGUCCUGAGGUGAAUCGGUCCAGAGUUACUGCAGUCCUGAGGUGAAUCAGUCCAUAGUUACUGCAGUCCUGAGGGGAAUCAGUCCAGAUUUACUGCAGUCCUGAGGUGAAUCAGUCCAGAUUUACUGCAGUCCUGAGGUGAACCCGUCCUCUGUCCUGAGGUGAACCCGUCCUCUGUCCUGAGGUGAAUCGGUCCAGAGUUACUGCAGUCCUGAGGUGAAUCAGUCCAGAGUUACUGCAGUCCUGAGGUGAACCCGUCCUCUGUCCUGAGGUGAACCCGUCCUCUGUCCUGAGGUGAACCCAUCCAGAGUUACUGCAGUCCUGAGGUGAACCCGUCCUCUGUCCUGAGGUGAACCCGUCCUCUGUCCUGAGGUGAACCCAUCCAGAGUUACUGCAGUCCUGAGGUGAACCCGUCCUCUGUCCUGAAGUGAAUCCGUCCUCUGUCCUGAGGUGAAUCCGUCCUCUGUCCUGAGGUGAACCCAUCCAGAGUUACUGCAGUCCUGAGGUGAAUCCGUCCUCUGUCCUGAGGUGAAUCCGUCCUCUGUCCUGAGGUGAACCCGUCCUCUGUCCUGAGGUGAACCCGUCCUCUGUCCUGAGGUGAACCCGUCCUCUGUCCUGAGGUGAACCCGUCCUCUGUCCUGAGGUGAACCCGUCCUCUGUCCUGAGGUGAACCCGUCCUCAGUCCUGAGGUGAACCCGUCCUCUGUCCUGAGGUGAACCUGUCCUCUGUCCUGAGGUGAACCCGUCCUCUGUCCUGAGGUGAACCCGUCCUCUGUCCUGAGGUGAACCCGUCCUCUGUCCUGAGGUGAACCCGUCCUCUGUCCUGAGGUGAACCUGUCCUCAGUCCUGAGGUGAACCCGUCCUCUGUCCUGAGGUGAACCCGUCCUCUGUCCUGAGGUGAACCCGUCCUCUGUCCUGAGGUGAACCCGUCCUCUGUCCUGAGGUGAACCUGUCCUCUGUCCUGAGGUGAACCCGUCCUCAGUCCUGAGGUGAAUCCGUCCUCUGUCCUGAGGUGAACCCGUCCUCUGUCCUGAGGUGAACCCGUCCUCAGUCCUGAGGUGAACCCGUCCUCUGUCCUGAGGUGAACCCAUCCUCUGUCCUGAGGUGAACCUGUCCUCAGUCCUGAGGUGAACCCGUCCUCUGUCCGGAGGUGAACCCGUCCUCUGUCCUGAGGUGAACCCGUCCUCUGUCCUGAGGUGAACCCGUCCUCUGUCCUGAGGUGAACCCGUCCUCUGUCCUGAGGUGAACCCGUCCUCAGUCCUGAGGUGAACCCGUCCUCUGUCCUGAGGUGAACCCAUCCUCAGUCCUGAGGUGAACCCGUCCUCUGUCCGGAGGUGAACCCGUCCUCUGUCCUGAGGUGAACCCGUCCUCUGUCCUGAGGUGAACCCAUCCAGAGUUACUGCAGUCCUGAGGUGAACCCGUCCUCUGUCCUGAAGUGAAUCCGUCCUCUGUCCUGAGGUGAAUCCGUCCUCUGUCCUGAGGUGAACCCAUCCAGAGUUACUGCAGUCCUGAGGUGAAUCCGUCCUCUGUCCUGAGGUGAAUCCGUCCUCUGUCCUGAGGUGAACCCGUCCUCUGUCCUGAGGUGAACCCGUCCUCUGUCCUGAGGUGAACCCGUCCUCUGUCCUGAGGUGAACCCGUCCUCUGUCCUGAGGUGAACCCGUCCUCUGUCCUGAGGUGAACCCGUCCUCAGUCCUGAGGUGAACCCGUCCUCUGUCCUGAGGUGAACCUGUCCUCUGUCCUGAGGUGAACCCGUCCUCUGUCCUGAGGUGAACCCGUCCUCUGUCCUGAGGUGAACCCGUCCUCUGUCCUGAGGUGAACCCGUCCUCUGUCCUGAGGUGAACCUGUCCUCAGUCCUGAGGUGAACCCGUCCUCUGUCCUGAGGUGAACCCGUCCUCUGUCCUGAGGUGAACCCGUCCUCUGUCCUGAGGUGAACCCGUCCUCUGUCCUGAGGUGAACCUGUCCUCUGUCCUGAGGUGAACCCGUCCUCAGUCCUGAGGUGAAUCCGUCCUCUGUCCUGAGGUGAACCCGUCCUCUGUCCUGAGGUGAACCCGUCCUCAGUCCUGAGGUGAACCCGUCCUCUGUCCUGAGGUGAACCCAUCCUCUGUCCUGAGGUGAACCUGUCCUCAGUCCUGAGGUGAACCCGUCCUCUGUCCGGAGGUGAACCCGUCCUCUGUCCUGAGGUGAACCCGUCCUCUGUCCUGAGGUGAACCCGUCCUCUGUCCUGAGGUGAACCCGUCCUCUGUCCUGAGGUGAACCCGUCCUCAGUCCUGAGGUGAACCCGUCCUCUGUCCUGAGGUGAACCCAUCCUCAGUCCUGAGGUGAACCCGUCCUCUGUCCGGAGGUGAACCCGUCCUCUGUCCUGAGGUGAACCCGUCCUCUGUCCUGAGUUGAACCCGUCCUCUGUCCUGAGGUGAACCCGUCCUCUGUCCUGAGGUGAACCCGUCCUCUGUCCUGAGGUGAAUCCGUCCUCUGUCCUGAGGUGAACCCAUCCAGAGUUACUGCAGUCCUGAGGUGAACCCGUCCUCUGUCCUGAGGUGAACCCGUCCUCUGUCCUGAGGUGAACCCGUUCAGAGUUACUGCAGUCCUGAGAAACGAAGAAGGUGUUUGUCUGCCAAUCCUGUCCCUCCCCCUGGCUACAGAAAGGGGUGUGUCUGGUCAUCCGGUCCCUCCCCCUGGCUGCAGGCUGUAGAAAGGGGUGUGGACUGUCCUGAUGGAGGUGGGACAGCCAUCACCUGACAGCAGUAGUGAAGAGUGUACAGUACUGGAGGCUCUACCAGACAAGGGACUGGCCUGUCACACACACACUGGCAAGGUGACGGAGCUGUACUGUUCAGGGUGUGAGGUGUGUGUGUGUGAGGUGUGUGUGUCAGGGGAGCACGCGGACCAUACCACGCUACCUUUAUUAGACUUUCUGGAGACACACAGAGACGGUCUGCAGGAGAGACUGACUGCUGCACAGAACAGGCUGCCUCAGAUCUCGGAGGCCCUGGUGUCUCUGAGAGAGAUCCUAAAGCAGCUGACCAAUCAGAGAGAUUUGAUCGAGGAGGACAUCCACGUCAGCUUUGAAGAGCUCCACAAGACCCUGGACGUCAGGAAGAGUGUACUACUGAUGGAGCUAGAGGUCACCUACGGACUGAAACAGAAGGUUCUGCAGGCCCAGCUGGACACCCUGCUCCAGGGCCACAGGGGUAUCGCUGACACCUGUACCCAGACAGAGGAGGCCCUGAGCGGGAAGGCCAGCGCCGCGAGCCUGCAGGCUGAGAGAGGCCUUGGGGAGAGGCUGGGGGAGCUGGCCAGUCAAGGUUUACCAUUCCAGGCUGAGGAGAAUGAUCAGCUGGACUUAGUGAUGGAGGCAGAGGGACUGAGGAAGUCGAUCCACAACCUAGGGACAAUUGUCACUACCAGCGCGGUGGCGAGCCAGAGUGAGGCGUCAGGUGUGGGGCUGGAGCAGUGCAUCGUGGGUCUCCCAGCCUGCGUAACCAUAACGACCAGAGACAAGGCCGGGGGACACUGCAGGACCGGCAACGCCAUCCUGUCUGCUGAGGUGUGUACUCCAGAUGGCAGCGUGGCGGACGGGGAGAUACUCGACCACAAGAACGGGACAUAUGAUUUUGUUUACACUGUAAACAAGGAAGGGGAGUUCUCAUUGGCUCUCCGGCUCUAUGACCAGCACAUCAAAGGAAGUCCCUUCAGUCUCAGAGUUACCAGGUCCCCGGACCCUGAGGUGUCUCCCCCCACCACCACAGCCACCUCUCUGGCGGCCACCGCCACCCCGUCUACAGGCUCCUCUGAGGGGGCUAAGAGGAGAGGAAAGUCCCCUGGGUCCGGGAGUAAGAAGAAGGGGUCCAGGAGGACAGGCAGUGCCCUGGGGACACCCAGACGCAAAGAGAACCCCAUCGAAGAUGACCUCAUCUUCAGGAUCGGUACCAAGGGGAAGAAUAAAGGAGAGUUCACUAACCUGCAGGGUGUGUCGACGUCCUCCAAUGGAAGGAUUCUAAUAGCAGACAGCAAUAACCAGUGUGUUCAGAUCUUCUCUAAUGACGGCGAGUUUAAGAGUCGUUUCGGGGUGAGGGGCCGGUCGCCAGGGCAACUCCAACGACCAACGGGUGUGGCCGUUCACCCCAACGGUGACAUCAUCAUCGCCGACUACGACAACAAGUGGGUCAGCAUCUUCUCCAGCGAGGGCAAGUACAAGGCCAAGCUUGGCUCUGGUAGGCUGAUGGGACCGAAGGGCGUGUCCGUGGAUCAGAACGGUCAUGUGAUCGUUGUGGACAACAAGGCAUGCACCGUCUUCAUCUUCCAGCCAACCGGCAAGCUCGUUACUAAGUUCGGUAGCCGCGGCAACGGAGACAAACAGUUCGCAGGUCCUCAUUUUGCAGCCGUCAACAACAACAAUGAGAUCAUAGUGACAGACUUUCACAACCACUCAGUCAAGGUGUUCACCCCAGAGGGAGAGCUGCUGUUGAAGUUUGGAACUAACGGAGAGGGCAACGGUCAGUUUAAUGCUCCUACAGGCGUGGCUGUUGACGUGAACGGGAACAUCAUCGUAGCCGACUGGGGCAACAGCCGCAUACAGGUGUUUGACGGUAGUGGUUCCUUCCUGUCCUAUAUCAACACAUCAGCUGACCCUCUCUACGGACCUCAGGGUCUGGCUCUCACCUCUGAUGGACACGUGGUGGUGGCUGACUCUGGGAACCACUGCUUCAAGGUCUACAGAUACCUACAGUAGUGGGAUGGAGGAACAGAGGCAGGGGUGGAGGAAUGCAGAGAUGAAUGGACAGAACUACUGUUCAAAGAUCUACAGAUCCCUACAGUAGUGGGAGGGAGGGAGGGAGGGAGGGAGGUGUGUAGAGAUGGACAGAACUACUUUUUCAAGGUCUACAGAUACCUACAGUGAACUUAAACGACGGCCAAUAAAAUCAGUUCCUCCCUCUGCUCUGACCACAUGUCACUCAUCUGCAAUACUAUUGGCCAGAGGAACAAAGCAAGAACAUCUAUUGGCCAACUUCAAAACAGACCUGGGACCUAGCUCUCGGGCUCGCCAGACACGGCUCAAUAUGAAACCAACGUCAACCUGUUUUAUCUGCUCUUAAACUCAUGUACUGCUAUGGAUUCUACAAAAUAACGAUAUAGAUUGUUCGAUUGAGGAUUGUCGUGUGCUAAAUCAAUAAGGAAUGUUCAAGAACGUGCCUGUGGUUAUUCUAAUACUCCACAGGUACAGUAUAUCAAUGAUUCCAUCAAUCAAUCAAUUCAUUAUUGGUUGAUUGAUUGAUGGAUUGAGCUAACAGGCAGCUUGCGACGUUACGCUUGGAUGAGGUAUAUAUUCAACCAUCUAUUUUUUUUUUCGGAAAAAAAUAAUGUCUGCGUCCCAAAUUGAUCCCUAUGGGCCUGGGUCAAAAGUAGUGUACUACAUAGGGAAUAGGGUGCUAUUUGGGACGUAUUGGGUCUGGUCAAAAGUAGUGCACUACAUAGGGAUUAGGGUGCUGUUUGGGACGUAUUGGGUCUGAUCAAAGGUAGUGCACUACAUAGGGAUUAGGGUGCUGUUUGGGAUAUAGACGCAAGAAGAUAAAAUGGAAGAGUAUAUAUAUUUGUGAAAUUAUAUUUACUAUUAAUACCGAUCAAUAACCGUUUGCAAACCAAGAUUCAUCAGUGACGUUUUCAACCCCCUCAUUAGAAAAUACUAGACCCUAUGGCUCGAUUCAAUCCGUAUCGCUGAAGUUCAGCGCUAUAAUGAGAUUGUGAUUUCUGAUUGAGCCAACAUAUACAGCCGUGAACGCAGUCUCCAUGAAAGCGGGAAUAUUGCCUUUUGAGUUUCUACUGUGCUGUAGUGCGUGUCUUCAGCGCUACGGAUUGAAUCGAGCCCGUAAAUGUUUGAUCACUCGCCAAGAAUUAGUAUAUCAGUUGUUUAAUUAUUAUGUGCGCUGUUGCUUGUCAGUACGAUAAUAGAUCACUCAUAACGGAAUACCGGUGUAUUCUAGAAGAAUACCAGAGUAUUCUAGAAGCAUGCUUCUUCAUUUUAUUAACUGUAUCAAUCUGUUAGCAUCCGACAAACAAUGAUCUUCUACAACCAUAUCUAAGAGUUACACAAUUCCAGAACCCCCCCCCCCCCCUCAAAUUCCAUGCAGGUUUUCCAGACAUCCUGGUUGUAAGAGUCCUUGAAUGAGGAGGGAAUAGGCAGGAAAUCCGGGGAAUCUUGAAUUUGGAUUUCUGGAAAGUUUGCAUGGAAAUUUGGUAAUUUUAGAACCCUAUAAAUCAUAUCAUAUUCUAACAUCUGGUUAAUGGGGAGGAUUGGAGGAAUCGGGUUAAUGGGGAGGAUUGGAUGAGGAAUCUGGUUAAUGGGAAGGAUUGGAUGAGGAAUCUGGAUAAUGGGGAGGAUUGGAUGAGGAAUCUGGAUAAUGGGGAGGAUUGGAUGAGGAAUCUGGUUAAUGGGAAUGAUUGGAUGAGGAAUCUGGAUAAUGGGGAGGAUUGGAUGAGGAAUCUGGAUAAUGGGGAGGAUUGGAUGAGGAAUCUGGAUAAUGGGGAGGAUUGGAUGAGGAAUCUGGUUAAUGGGAAGGAUUGGAUGAGGAAUCUGGAUAAUGGGGAGGAUUGGAUGAGGAAUCUGGAUAAUGGGGAGGAUUGGAUGAGGAAUCUGGUUAAUGGGAAGGAUUGGAUGAGGAAUCUGGAUAAUGGGGAGGAUUGGAUGAGGAAUCUGGUUAAUGGGAAGGAUUGGAUGAGGAAUCUGGAUAAUGGGGAGGAUUGGAUGAGGAAUCUGGUUAAUGGGAAGGAUUGGAUGAGGAAUCUGGUUAAUGGGACGGAUUGGAUGAGGAAUUUUGAUAAUGGGAAGGAUGAGGACUCAGGUUAAUGGGAAGUACUGGAUGAGGACUCAGGUUAAUGGGAAGGACUGGAGGAAUCUGGAUAGUGGGAAGGACUGGAUGAGGACUCAGGUUAAUGGGAAGGACUGGAUGAGGACUCAGGUUAAUGGGAAGGACUGGAUGAGGACUCAGGUUAAUGGGAAGGACUGGAUGAGGACUCAGGUUAAUGGGAAGGACUGGAUGAGGACUCAGGUUAAUGGGAAGGAGGAAUCUGGAUAGUGGGAAGAACUGCAUGAGGACUCAGGUUAAUGGGAAGGACUGGAUGAGGACUCAGGGGUUGUGUACCAAGUGGAACACUGUUUCCCAGAGCCCUAUGGGCCUUCAAAGCAGUACACUACAUUGGGAAUAGGGUGCUAUUUGGGACGUAUUGGCUCUGAUCAAAGGUAGUGCACUACAUAGGGAAUAGGGUGCUGUUUGGGACGUAUUGGGUCUGGUCAAAGGUAGUGCACUACAUAGGGAAUAGGGUGCUGUUUGGGACGUAUUGGGUCUGGUCAAAGGUAGUGCACUACAUAGGGAAUAGGGUGCUGUUUAGAAUGCUAGCUUUCAUAGGCGAGGCUCCUCCACGUUUCCAACGCUACAGGAAGUAAUGAGAACAAUACUGAACACCAUCUCUCUUCACGACGUGAAUCACUUGUGUUUCUGUUAUUAUUUAUGAUUUGAGGUUAUUUAUUUAUGUCUUUUAUAACGCUAUUUGUUUAUUUAAUGUAUUAAUGUAUUAACUUAUUUAUGUUUUCAUGUAAAUCAUGGGAGAGUUAAGAGCCCAUUGUACAUGUUCUCCUUAAGCAUUAUCAGGCCUUUUCAAUGUUUCCCCCGUCUUUCACCUGCGAUGCGAUGGACCACGCUUGGACAGACUGUUUUACGACUGCCUUUCUUCACGAUCGUUCUGUUUUUUCAGAGAAAAGAUUGUACGGAACGAAUGAAUGAACCGACUUGUUUCAAUUGUUUUUCUUCUGGAAUGUUCAUCUCAUUGUUGGAGACACACAGCCUUUACAUUCAUUCGUAUUGCCAUGUCACACGAAUGUUAUUUUGACUGUUAU